GACGAACGCUGGCGGCGUGCCUAAUACAUGCAAGUCGAGCGGAUCUUCAUUAGCUUGCUUUUGAAGAUCAGCGGCGGACGGGUGAGUAACACGUGGGCAACCUGCCUGUAAGACUGGGAUAACUUCGGGAAACCGGAGCUAAUACCGGAUAAUCCUUUCCCUCACAUGAGGGAAAGCUGAAAGACGGUUUCGGCUGUCACUUACAGAUGGGCCCGCGGCGCAUUAGCUAGUUGGUGAGGUAAUGUCUCACCAAGGCGACGAUCCGUAGCCGACCUGAGAGGGUGGUCGGCCACACUGGGACAGAGAAACGGCCCAGACGCCUACGGGAGGCAGCAGUAGAGAAUCUUCCGCAAUGGACGAAAGUCUGACGGAGCAACGCCGCGUGAACGAUGAAGGCCUUCGGGUCGUAAAGUUCUGUUGUCAGGGAAGAACAAGUACCGGAGUAACUGCCGGUACCUUGACGGUACCUGACCAGAAAGCCACGGCUAACUACGUGCCAGCCACCGCGGUAACAC
rnacentral:rRNA from 1 species